rnacentral:rRNA from 1 species
AUUGAACGCUGGCGGCAGGCUUAACACAUGUAAGUCGAACGAGUGGCGGACGGGUGAGUAACAUUUAGGAAUCUGCCUAGUAGUGGGGGAUAGAUCGGGGAAACUCGAAUUAAUACCGCAUACUAUUAGAUGAGCCUAAAUCAGAUUAGCUAGUUGGUGGGGUAAAGGCCCACCAAGGCGACGAUCUGUAACUGGUCUGAGAGGAUGAUCAGUCACACCGGAACUGAGACACGGUCCGGACUCCUACGGGAGGCAGCAGUGGGGAAUAUUGGACAAUGGGGGCAACCUGAUCCAGCCAUGCCGCGUGUGUGAAGAAGGCCUUCGGGUUGUAAAGUACUUUCAGCGGGGAGGCGUUACCCGCAGAAGAAGCACCGGCUAACUCCGUGCCAGCAGCCGCGGUAAUUC